CUGCCACGUAUAUAGGUGUUCAAAAUGCCAGCUAAGCCACGUCAUUAGAACUGCCAGAUAAAUACUAACGUUCAUAAAGUUCUGCGUGUUGACAACGUUGGCUGCAGCUCUCUCAUCUCUCUAACAAACGACCAAAAGCCAUCAGCUCGCACUCGGAGCAAUAAAGAGACCGGCGAAGACAUCUAAAAUGGUGCCUCUUUACCUUAAUUCGUGGGUUUCAGAAUCAUAACCUGUACAUUGAUGUGUACUUUUAUCGUUCUGGGUAGUCUGCUGUUGGUGCCACUAUCAGAAUUUCAUGCUUAGUUAUGUAUGUUACAAGUAACUGUAUUUUUUGUUUUCUUGAAUUUGCUUCAAUUUCAACUGAGAUUCUUCUUAUGACAGAAAUAAAUAAACGAAGUAUCCCAAUCUAUUGAUUGAUUCAGUUCUUUAUGACAAUACAAUUGCCUUCAGUGAGGCCCUAGGUUGUGCUUGAGAUUUAUGUUUGGCCAGCCAAUCUGAUUGAAACAUUUUUCUUUUUCAAGUGCCUAAACAGAAAGCUGAUUUGGGAGUUUAUAGGUUGGGGAUUAUUUCAUAUUGUUUCUGAGAAAGACUUUAAAGACAAUGGAGGUGGUUUAGGUAUGUGAGUAGGAGGAGUAAGUUGUUGAAUAUAAGCGUAGCCGUUCAUGUAUGCGCAAACAGGCUUGUCAUCUACCUACAUAAUCAUUUUUGACUUUGCGACGUGAGGUGGAGCUCAAACUAUUUUAUUCUCAGAUGCAUUUUUCACUCGUUACUAUUGGCUCCGAAACGGCGUUUGGGCUUGCAUUGCGCGGGUGAUCAUGGAAUUGUUGGAGUCAGGAAUACGAAAUUGAUGUUUAUAAUUGUACGGUUCUUUGUCAAUAAUGUCUAUAAGAUUUAGAUUAUCUGUAAACAGCUGCACUGCAGGUUUACAUACUGUUGCUGGCACAAAACAAAGAGUCAGAAAGCGGAAAGGAAUGUCAAAUUACAGAUGACGUGACGUCAAAAAUAAUUAAUCGCUGCCAAUUUUGCAUGACAUAGACAGGAGAUGGGAUAGAGGUAACUAUAUCAACCCCUUUCGUUACCAACCCAUUAUCAUUGGUAUCUGCAUAUAUUUUCACAGUGGCUGUGCUUCACAUUGCGUUGGUUUAUUCAGAAAGCACCAUGUGGAUGCGGGCAAGCAAUCUUAUUGCAUGAGUUGUAAUUCUACCUCUCCAUUUUAAACUAUGAACAACGGGAAAAAGAAUUGAACUCCUUUGCCCCAACCCCUCUCCUUCAGGGCACAGAGAAGGGUGCUGUGGAAACAAGAAGCAGAAUUUCUUUCAAGAAUUAUUGAUAUACAUACCCUGAUUUUGAGAUGAUAACUUGACAGAAUUCUUCUCUUUAAGAUUAACCUUUUUUCUCAGUAUUCUUCUUUUUUAAGCUGUAUUUCUUUAUUCUUCUUUUUUCCUUCUUUUGCAUGAUGCAUUUGUUGAAAAGUGAAACCUAGGCUUUUAGGUUAAUUCAUUCUAGUUUGCUGCAGGUCUCAUUGGUCUUCUUGGUAAAUAUGUGAUAGAAAUGGUUCAGCAAGUAGCCAUUUCACUAAGUUUCUAGCUAUACCUGUUCCUGGUAUGACUCAUGCAUAUGCUCGCUCGCUCGCUCGCAUGCUUCGAUGUGUAUUUGCAUUCAAAGUUGCACCCAUGCACAGGAUUUUGCGCGAGUUCAUUCAGCUGUUUGAAAGAAUUUGCUGGUUUCAAUAUUGAGUUGUCUUUUUCGUUUUCAUCUUUUCCCCACAGGGAAUUCACAGUGGUAUCAAAUUUAAUACUGGAAUGAUUUCCUGUAAAUUACAAUAUUAGUGUCACUAAGGUUUUGGCAUACAUCGUCGAUUUUGCAGACAGUAACAUAACUGAAGCAAGCUCACAAGCUACUGAUGCCAAGUUGGAGAGGAAACUAUGGGAUUUCAGCUUAGAAUUGAUCAACAGAUGCAAUGUCCGUAUAUAGAAGCCGAAGUAGCUAAUGAAUAUGAACAGUAGCGGACAGUUCACUGUACACUAUUAUAGUGGCUUUUUUUAUUUUGGUAGUGUUUUCUAUCAAGCUAGAUUAUCUUUUUUCUGA